GCAAGAAAGGCGUAGAAGAAAAUAACUCCCAAAAAUAAGAAUGACUGACUCAAAAUGUUCCUCAAUCAAGCCUACGACGGGUUCGUGGUGGAAGAAAUACUGGCAGCGACAGUGGUGAGGAAGAGGAAUCGGACGGCGGAGCCCUUGCUCUGGCAGUGUUGUGUAAUAAGAUUCUGUUUCCAAAUCGAAUUUGGAUUACCAUUGCGCUUACGCCACCGGUAGCGAGGUUCUUGGAGAGGGGACAGAUUAUUAAGAAAAAUAUGGUGGAAUUCGUUUGAGAGACAAACAAAAGAGUGUUAAGAUUGUGACCUAAUACAGAAGAAUUGCAAGAAGCGGAAGUAACGAUUGCAAAAUUGCAUUGCCAUUGCAUACUGUUGCUUGGGCUGAAAAAGUAGAAGAGUUCUAACUUUGAAUCUAGGUGUAUGGAGUCCAUGGAUGUAAAAAGUGGGCCUCCCAAUACCCUUUCCAAUUAUGUACUUGUAACUACCAUUUGGAUUCGGCAGAGAAAUACAUCUAUGUUUUGGCAAUAAAACGUAUUCUUCUUAAGUUAGGGGUUCUUUUUUUUUAACGCAAGUCAUUUAGCAAUGACAAAGCAGUCUUGCUAUUCUUACGUGGAAAGAUAGUUCAAAUUGCUAGACAUGAUGAAAAGCCAGUGGCACUGUGCAAAGUUGCAAUGGCUUUCCAAUAUCACAUGUGCCUCUCACGUGCUCCUAAAUUAGUUAUAAUAAAAAUGCGAUUAGAUUAUAGUUGUGACUCG